rnacentral:rRNA from 1 species
GAAAAGAAAUCAGUUCAGCACUAAGUCACUUUGUCUUUAUGGCAAAUGUGAGAUGCAGUGUAUGGAAUGUUCAAUUUCUAGUAUGAGAAAUUAACGAUUUAAGUCCUUCUUAAAUGAGGCCAUUUACCCAUAGAGGGUGCCAGGCCCGUAUAACGUUAAUGAUUACUAGAGAACAUUUCCAAAGAGUCGUGUUGCUUGAUAGUGCAGCACUAAGUGGGUGGUAAACUCCAUCUAAAACUAAAUAUAACCAUGAGACCGAUAGUAAACAAGUACCGUGAGGGAAAGUUGAAAAGAACUCUGAAUAGAGAGUUAAAUAGUACGUGAAACUGCUUAGAGGUUAAGCCCGAUGAACCUGAAUAUCCAUUAUGGAAAAUUCAUCGUUACGAUUGUGAUAAUAAUAUUAUUAUAAGAAUAGCGUGCAUUUUUUCCAUAUAAGGACAUUGUAAUCUAUUAACAUACCCAAUUUAUCAUAAGAUCAAUGGCUUAAGUUUAUUCAAAUUAUUUUGCUUGUCUUUUUAACAUAGAAUAAAUGCUGUUGAUUUGAUAAAGUGUUGAUAGAUUUAUUUGUAUAUAGUGCUUGAAUAUUUAUAUUCUAUAAUGGCAUAUUAAUCAUUGAUUUUUGUGUUUA